rnacentral:rRNA from 1 species
UACGUAGGGUGCAAGCGUUGUCCGGAAUUAUUGGGCGUAAAGAGCUCGUAGGCGGUCUGUCGCGUCGGCUGUGAAAACUCGGGGCUCAACUCCGAGCUUGCAGUCGAUACGGGCAGGCUAGAGUUCGGCAGGGGAGACUGGAGUUCCUGGUGUAGCGGUGAAAUGCGCAGAUAUCAGGAGGAACACCGGUGGCGAAGGCGGGUCUCUGGGCCGAUACUGACGCUGAGGCGCGAAAGCGUGGGGAGCAAACAGG